rnacentral:rRNA from 1 species
GAUUAACGCUAGCGGCAGGCCUAAUACAUGCAAGUCGAGGGGCAGCAGGGUGUAGCAAUACAUCGCUGGCGACCGGCGCACGGGUGCGUAACACGUAUGCAAUCUUUCCUUAACUGGGGAAUAGCUUUGAGAAAUCAGAAUUAAUACCCCAUAACAUUAUGAAGUGGCAUCACUUUAUAAUUAAAGCUCCGGCGGUUAAGGGUGAGCAUGCGCCCCAUUAGCUAGUUGGCGAGGUAACGGCUCACCAAGGCAACGAUGGGUAGGGGUUCU